CAAUUGGCUGUCUUGAAUUAAACAGCCACCGAAUAUUAAGUAUAAAAAUGCAU
rfam:Tauraco erythrolophus contig43999, whole genome shotgun sequence.